GAUGAAGAACGUAGCGAAAUGCGAUAAGUAGUGUGAAUUGCAGAAUUCAGUGAAUCAUCGAAUCUUUGAACGCACAUUGCGCCCUUUGGCAUUCCAAAGGGCAUGCCUGUUCGAGCGUCAUUUGUACCCUCAAGCUUUGCUUGGUGUUGGGCGUCUUGUCUCUAGCUUUGCUGGAGACUCGCCUUAAAGUAAUUGGCAGCCGGCCUACUGGUUUCGGAGCGCAGCACAAGUCGCACUCUCUAUCAGCAAAGGUCUAGCAUCCAUUAAGCCUUUUUUUCAACUUUUGACCUCGGAUCAGGUAGGGAUACCCGCUGAACUUAAGCAUAUCAAUAAGCGGAGGA
rnacentral:misc_RNA from 1 species